AGGAGGCUUCCUGGAGGUGGUGUGGGCUGCAGAGAGCCUGUCCUCUAGCCCUCUCUUUGUGGGUGUUUUGCAGUGUAGGAAAGCCAAGUAUUUCUAAGAAGAAAGUAAAAAUGGAGGAAAUCAGCCACUGUCUGCUUUUCUGGGUGUUCAGGAUUGCUGCCAAACAGACACAAAGACGACCGAAGCAGAAAUGUACCCCGCACUCUGCAGUGGCCACUGCAGUGGUAACUGAAUAAAAUCCACUGAGAGGAAAAGAAAGGCACUUUGGUCAUGGAGCCGAAAUGGAAAAGUAGAUGUGUUUAAAGGACCUUUUUGUGUUGUGGCUCCUCAGACUCCUUCUCCUUCCAUGAGACUACCCAAAAAGCAGAACACCUGCUGAAUGUCAGGUUUCCUUUUGGCUGCAGGAGCACAGCAUCACACAGCAUGGUCAGGUCUCUAACAGACCGGGGGGGGCAGUUUGCUAUUGCUCGUGUUCCAGGCAAGCCAUUUGAUUCUUGUUUGAAAUGCUAUCUCUAAGCUGCUUUUGCUGAAUUGCUUACUUUCAUGAGAGGUUAUAAACAAAAGGCCCGACUUCUGGAAGAGUUUGGCUUCCUUAUAUGAUACUGGUUUCCAAGGGGCAUGUAAAUAAGGGGUCACAUUUUCCAAAGGGAGGACUGCCCUAGCAUCAGUGUUGUGAGAACUCUGCUUUGCAGUUCCAUGGGUGUAUUUAGGGGGAAACAUUACUGUCAGGCUGAGUCAGUGGCCUAAAUUCUCCUUCCUUUAUCCAUACAACCACAUGAAAGCCUGUGCCUCCUAUCCACAGAGUGUGCAUGAAUAAUUUGCUUGGCAUGAGACUGGAGCUUGCUAGCACCGUAACUAUGCCUUUGUAGGCUCCAUAUGUCCCUUGCCUGGGACCUUUUGAAAUGAUAUAAAACUCUGGUACUGUGACCAAAAAGAAAAAAGUCUGGGCAAUGACUUCAGAAGCAACUGGGAGUGACUUGGAGCUCACGAAAGGACUCUUGACUUCAGUGGUGUUGACCCAAGUCCAUGACACUGGAGAGUUACAUCCAGACCUUACGGAGAUCCUAGAAUAACCCCUGUGGUCUGCAAAGAUUGUGUUUUUAAUCACUGCGAAGGAGUCCUGACUUCCAAACACUUCAGAAACACUGGACUCUUUAACUGUAUUUCUUGAAAUAUGCUCAAGAAAUAAGUGUGCACACACAUUGCCUGUCCCUGGCCUCCUCUAUGCACUGAACAUUUUUGGUGUAGGAGAGUUCCAUAACGGAAGCGUAAACCUUGUGUUUACAUCUAUAAACAAGAUAAGGUACAAAUUGCUGCAAUACAAACUUCCUUGCUCUGGCCCUCCACUGACCUCAGCUAUAAAGGACGAGGAUCCUCCUUUCUCACAGUUGCAGGGUCUUUAGGACAAAGUUUCAGCCAGCAAGCAUGCUUGCAAGGUCUUCUAUGUGAAUUUUUCCAACCGCCAUGCUACUCAUACACCAUGGGACUCAUGGCUGUGACAUGGGGAUAAGGCAUCCCCACUUGCAAGUUGCUCCAGACACCACCACCCACAAGGUGAGAUUUCAGUGGAUGCAGAAAGAAAAAGAUCUGCCAAUAAGACGAGCUGGUUUCUAGGCAAAGGAACCUGACUCCCUGGUGGCCUGGACGCAUGGUCUGAAGGAAGGACACAAGCAGAGGGCUGGGGUAUGAGGAAAGUGAAAGGGAUUUCUGCUCUUGACAGCUGUAAUUAUAGCUCCAUGCACUGAGAGAGCUCACAGUCUUUUUUGCUUAAAGCUCACAGCCAUUGGCAACCCUAGUCUGGCUGCAUACACAUGCCAUUGAGACUAGGGAGGGCUGUUUUUAAUCAGAAUUUAUU